rnacentral:tRNA from 1 species
GACCCCAUAGUACAACGGCUAGUACACUGGGUUUUCAUCCCGGCAAUGGUGGGUUCGAUUCCCCCUGGGGUCA